UUUAAUCUUUGAUUUUCUCACAAAAGCGUUUGAAUCCUCCCAAUGCUCGCUGCGCUUCCCUGUUGUCUGCUUGCGGCGUGACGCACAUGCGAAGUAGUUGUCUACUGGGUUAGCCGUGCUGUACCCAGAAAAAUUACAGUGACCUGCGUAGUAGGAGCGCUUGAAAGCAUUUAAGCCCAAAUACUGUAGAGGAAUGCAAUUCAAAACAUGAGACCGAACGGGCCUGUCGUGGCAGCACAACAGUGAUACAGGGGCAUCUAAAAAGGAAGUUCUUCCCCAGGAAAUCGGAAAUAAGACGCACAGCUGAAGGAAGGUCCUGCAAGGAAUUUGUCCAUAAAUUCAUCCCAGGUUCCAGGGUCUUCAAGGAAAGUGGCCAUCUGGUGGAAGUAAUAGGAAGACACAAUGACAUCCUUGGGGUUCCUCAUUACAUAGAUCACCUGAGGAUGGAGCCAGGGAACUCUAUCCCAGUUGGGAAUGGUUUGAAUGGGCGUCAAGUCCCCCCCACUCAGCACCAGCGGGAGGAGCUCUUGCAUCCAGAUUGUACCUGCAGAGGAGAGCAUUUUAUAUUACUAUGUACAUUACUGUAUACACAGCGUAGGUAUGCCAAAAGUUGUAUAAAUCUUGUUGUUGUUUUUACUAAGAAUGUACAAAAUUAACACUUUAAUAAUAAGUGCUUUUCACAAUUUUAGUCUAAGUCGUUUGUUCAAUUACAAAUCGACAUUCAAGAGAAGUAAUGCACAGUUCACACUCACAGAACCACACCUUUUGCUGGCAAUUCACUCCACAACACCGGUAAUUAGCUCCCAUUCUAGUUCAGCUCAUGCUUUUCAUGUACGAGUUGACAUAAUGUACGUUUCUGACUUUCAUGUUAUAUGUAUUGUUACUAUUCUUUUGAAUGACGCAAAGUCAAGAUUCAUAUAAUUCCAUGAUUCUCUUUCGUCUGCGCAAUAUUGCAAUGUCCACACACUUACACGCCAUUUGGAUAGAGAAUUCGAUGGUGCAACUUAUUGCCAUGCUUCCCCCCUUAGUGUUUAUUAUCAGCUCCCUGGCAUAGACUGCACCAUCAUUCAGUACAGAAACAAAAACACCAACUUGACCAAGGUUGAGUGAACAUCUGAUUCAUCAAAAAAUAAAUAAAUAAAUAACAAAUCAAGUAGUAUACUAUAAAUCACAGAUCAAACCUAUCUGGUGUCAGUGGUAGCUGAUAAACACUUACAUGGACUCCAUAUUAGCAAAAAAUUAUCCUACGAUACAUAAGGACCGCCAGAGGCAAC